rnacentral:rRNA from 1 species
GAUGAACGCUGGCGGCGUGCCUAACACAUGCAAGUCGAACGGAGAUUACGGACGGAAGUUUUCGGAUGGAAGACUGUAAUUCUUAGUGGCGGACGGGUGAGUAACGCGUGGGCACCUUCCCCAUACCGGGGGAUAACCGGUGGGAACGGCUGGUAAGACCGCAUAAGACCGCCGAACCGCCUGGUUUUUGCGGGGAAAUGAGCAAUAAGGUAUAGGAUGGGCCCGCGUCCGAUUAGCCAGUUGGCAGGGUAAAAGCCUACCAAAGCAACGAUCGGUAGCCGGACUGAGAGGUCGGACGGCCACAUUGGGACUGAGACACGGCCCAAACUCCUACGGGAGGCAGCAGUGGGGGAUAUUGCACAAUGGAGGAAACUCUGAUGCAGCGACGCCGCGUGAGUGAAGAAGUAUUUCGGUAUGUAAAGCUCUAUCAGCAGGGAAGAUGAUGACGGUACCUGACUAAGAAGCCCCGGCUAACUACGUG